UCUAAUUUUAUUUAAUUAACAAACUAAUUAAAAUAUGCUUUCUUAAUAUCUUGUUGCAUACCAGAAAGUUAUUUUUCUAUAAGCACUGUAUGAAAAUAGCUCUUAAGUGUGUCUUUUGUAGCUGAUGUUAGGUUUCUGGAUUCAGCACGUGGUGCAGACUUUCUUUUUUUCUUUUUUUACUAAAAGUAUCAAAUAACGUUAAAAUGAAGCAUCGCAUAACAAGAGAGAACAGAAAACCCUUCAGUACCAUUAAUUAAUGUAUAAAACCAGGGCCAUAAGACACGCCCGAUAAUUAGAAAUGGCCAAAUUGUCCCCUAGGAUUUUAAAUUCUUACUCUGCAUUCAGCUGUUGUUAGGGUGACAAAGUUUCAAAUGUAUAUUUUAGGUCUUCCUCAUCUAUAUUUAAUUUAUUGCUCGUCAUUGUUAAAACGAUUGAGAUGCCAAUCAAAGCGCACAGCAGCCAAUCGAAGGCUUUAGAUUAGUCACGCUUGUUAAGUUCACGUGCUCGUGACUGAAUUCAACGCGUUCACGGAGUCUCUCGUCUUAAACAACAAAUAGUGUUUUAGCGACGAAAGUAUUACAUUUCGCUGCUUCAGUAAUUAUAAAUUAUGAAUUUCAUCGGAUCACAACCCUUCCUUUACACAUCAAAAUUCAUGUCCAAACUGGAUCUGUUCUCUGAUGAUCUGCUAAAAGUGUUUACCAAAAAGGGUGGAGUGUUUAGAAAAAAGAUUCAAGAUGUGAUGUUGCCAGUGUCUCAGUGCCACCAUGGAGACCAAGCAAGAGUGCAUUCUCAAUGAUCUAUGCAUCUACCUGAAUGAAGAUGAAUAUGAUGGAGUAUUUGGAUGAUGACCCUGCAAGAACCAAAGCGGACAUAAAGAAGACCUUUUAGGGAUUCUGUGAUGAAGGCAUGAAUUUGCUGAUGCAACAGAAGACCCUGAAGAUAUCUGCAUUGUGCUGGAAGAUGUGGAGGUGCUUUCUGGUUUAGGUAAUGUAGCAUUGGCUACAGCCAUGCUACUUGGACUAAUAUACCCUUUAAAUCUUACUCAUCCAUAGGAGAUCCAUUACACUUUUAAGGUGCUCCAAAAAAUGAUUCUCGAGCUGAACUUGUGUAAAUUGUCUGCCAAAGCACAGGCGCAGAAAACAAAACUCUUCACUUGGGUGUGCUGUUUGAGGAUCCCUUUUUGAAUGCUGUUUUAUUUCCUUGUAUGCCCAUGUGUUUUUGUUGUAUCUGAAUUUUUGCAUGAUGAGCAGAGGUGAUUAAGUCUCUCAAUCACAUUUAAUCUCAUGUUUAAGAAAACAAAAUAAAAUAACAUUUUGUUAUAUUCUUA